rnacentral:rRNA from 1 species
UGGCGACCGGCGCACGGGUGAGUAACACGUAUCCAACCUGCCGUCUACUCUUGGCCAGCCUUCUGAAAGGAAGAUUAAUCCAGGAUGGGAUCAUGAGUUCACAUGUCCGCAUGAUUAAAGGUAUUUUCCGGUAGACGAUGGGGGUGCGUUCCAUUAGAUAGUAGGCGGGGUAACGGCCCACCUAGUCAACGAUGGAUAGGGGUUCUGAGAGGAAGGUCCCCCACAUUGGAACUGAGACACGGUCCAAACUCCUACGGGAGGCAGCAGUGAGGAAUAUUGGUCAAUGGGCGAUGGCCUGAACCAGCCAAGUAGCGUGAAGGAUGGCUGCCCUAUGGGUUGUAAACUUCUUUUAUAAGGGAAUAAAGUCGGGUAUGCAUACCCGUUUGCAUGUACUUUAUGAAUAAGGAUCGGCUAACUCCGUGCCAGCAGCCGCGGUAAUACGGAGGAUCCGAGCGUUAUCCGGAUUUAUUGGGUUUAAAGGGAGCGUAGAUGGAUGUUUAAGUCAGUUGUGAAAGUUUGCGGCUCAACCGUAAAAUUGCAGUUGAUACUGGAUGUCUUGAGUGCAGUUGAGGCAGGCGGAAUUCGUGGUGUAGCGGUGAAAUGCUUAGAUAUCACGAAGAACUCCGAUUGCGAAG